GGGGAUUUAGCUCAGCGGUAUAAGCACCUGCCUUGCAAGCAGGUGGUCAGGAGUUCAAUCCCAGGACCCG
rnacentral:tRNA from 1 species